rnacentral:lncRNA from 1 species
GGAACCUGACAUCAGCACAUUGGCUUCCAGAUCUACGCACUGUGAGUGAAAGCUUCAAUUUCACUCACCAUCUUGGAGACUCCAGGCAGGCUGCAGUGGGGUGAGGGGAGCAGUGCAGAGCCGACGACAUCUCAGGCCCUGAAAUGGAAUGUUUUGCCAAGCUACAACUUAAAACGGGAUCAGCAAAAUGUUUUCUUUCUUGGCAAUCAUCAUGAAGUCAUUGUCCAAUUGAGGACAUUAAACACUUCAGAGCUUCACUGUACGAGGUCUCCUAAAAGAACUGUGGUUCUUGGAAUCGAAUAUCUCACCAGCAGUUACACAGGGGUGCACUUGUCAUUACUUCAAGGGACUCUUGUGAGGGCCACCAGGUGGAUAAGGCAGAUGAAGCAACUGAGGCUGAAGUGA